rnacentral:tRNA from 1 species
ACUAUUUUGGCAGAGAAAUGUAAUGAUUUUAGAAGUCAUCAACGUAUAAUUAAUUAUAUAUAUAGUA